rnacentral:rRNA from 1 species
UACAGAGGCCCCAAGCGUUAUCCGGAAUCACUGGGUGUAAAGGGUGUCCAGGCGGUCGUAUUAGUCGUUUGUAAAAUCCGCGCGCUUAACGUGCGGUCCGCAAGCGAAACGGUACGACUCGAGGGCGCGAGAGGUAGAGGGAACUCAUGGUGGAGGGGUGAAAUCCGUUGAUAUCAUGGGGAACACCAAAGGCGAAGGCACUCUACUGGCGCGUUCCUGACGCUCACACACGAAAGCCAGGGGAUCGAACGGG